rnacentral:rRNA from 1 species
GAAUAAUGGAANNGGACCUCGGUYCUAUUUNGUUGGUUUUCGGAACCCCGANGUAAYGAYUAAUAGGGACAGAUGGGGGCAUUCGUAUUGCGACGUUAGAGGUGAAAYUCUUGGAUCGUCGCAAGACGGACAGAAGCGAAAGCAUUUGCCAAAAAUGUUUUCAUUAAUCAAGAACGAAAGUUAGAGGUUCGAAGGCGAUCAGAUACCGCCCUAGUUCUAACCAUAAACGAUGCCAGCUAGCGAUCCGCCGAAGUUCCAUUGAUGACUCGGCGGGCAGCUUCCGGGAAACCAAAGCUUUUGGGUUCCGGGGGAAGUAUGGUUGCAAAGCUGAAACUUAAAGGAAUUGACGGA